GCCCGCCAGAGAAUUACAAGCACCAAAGCUUAAAACUCAAAGGACUUGACGGUGUCCCACACCAACCUAGAGGAGCCUGUCCUAUAAUCGAUACUCCACGCUAAACCUUGCCCCCCCUUGCACCCAGCCUAUAUACCGCCGUCGCCAGCCAGCCUUAUGAAAGCAUACCAAAGCUAGCAAAAUAGUCUACCACUGAAACGUCAGGUCAAGGUGUAGCUUAUGCGGGGGAAAGAGAUGAGCUACAUUUUCUAAUAUAGAAAACCUACCACAAGCUUAAUGAAAAACGGCUAGAAGGUGGAUUUAGAAGUAAAUAUUGACAAGACCUGCCAAAUUGAA
rnacentral:rRNA from 1 species